CCUAGCGGCGGACGGGUGAGUAAUGCUUAGGAAUCUGCCUAUUAGUGGGGGACAACAUUCCGAAAGGAAUGCUAAUACCGCAUACGUCCUACGGGGGAAAGCAGGGGAUCUUCGGACCUUGCGCUAAUAGAUGAGCCUAAGUCGGAUUAGCUAGUUGGUGGGGUAAAGGCCUACCAAGGCGACGAUCUGUAGCGGGUCUGAGAGGAUGAUCCGCCACACUGGGACUGAGACACGGCCCAGACUCCUACGGGAGGCAGCAGUGGGGAAUAUUGGACAAUGGGCGCAAGCCUGAUCCAGCCAUGCCGCGUGUGUGAAGAAGGCCUUUUGGUUGUAAAGCACUUUAAGCGAGGAGGAGGCUCCUUUAGUUAAUACCUAAAGAGAGUGGACGUUACUCGCAGAAUAAGCACCGGCUAACUCUGUGCCAGCAGCCGCGGUAAUACAGAGGGUGCGAGCGUUAAUCGGAUUUACUGGGCGUAAAGCGUGCGUAGGCGGCUUUUUAAGUCGGAUGUGAAAUCCCUGAGCUUAACUUAGGAAUUGCAUUCGAUACUGGAAAGCUAGAGUAUGGGAGAGGAUGGUAGAAUUCCAGGUGUAGCGGUGAAAUGCGUAGAGAUCUGGAGGAAUACCGAUGGCGAAGGCAGCCAUCUGGCCUAAUACUGACGCUGAGGUACGAAAGCAUGGGGAGCAAACAGGAUUAGAUACCCUGGUAGUCCAUGCCGUAAACGAUGUCUACUAGCCGUUGGGGCCUUUGAGGCUUUAGUGGCGCAGCUAACGCGAUAAGUAGACCGCCUGGGGAGUACGGUCGCAAGACUAAAACUCAGAUGAAUUGACGGGGGCCCGCACAAGCGGUGGAGCAUGUGGUUUAAUUCGAUGCAACGCGAAGAACCUUACCUGGCCUUGACAUACUAAGAACUUUCCAGAGAUGGAUUGGUGCCUUCGGGAACUUAGAUACAGGUGCUGCAUGGCUGUCGUCA
rnacentral:rRNA from 1 species